UUAGAAUUGGAUUAGUUUUUAUAAAAUAUGUGGACCAGAUUCGUGGUCAGACCAGAUUCGUGGUCAAUUAUAGGCCAAAUUGUGCCUUGGAUCCAGUAUAGAGAGCAGGGCUGUGUGCCAUGUUCGGGGUUAGUGCGUGACUGAUCAGCAGCCUAACCUUUGGUUUUUAAGUAAAAAUGUGAUGAAUCCAAUUCGACAAUUCUUCUAAAAGCUUAGAGAUGAAUUGCUUGAUUGAGAUUGCGAGUAUGGCUAAGGCUAAGCGAGGAGUCAGAGUUAUAGAAUAUCCAGAAGACAAGUGGAAUGUCCAGGGAGAUUGUCAAGGUUGGUUCUAGAUAGAAUUGUAUUGAUGAGAUUCAGUUGUAAGUCAUAAUUGAAAUAGAUUGACAGUGACUCUUCUUAUCGAAGAUGAUCUGAGAUUGUAAGACAUUGUUUAUUUAUAGUGGUUGAUUCUAA